ACAUGCCUACAUCAUAGCGUUAAUGCACCAAAUCCCAUUAGAACUCUGCAAUUAAGUGUGCUCAGGUUAGAGCAGUAUUGGGAUGGGUGACCGCUCGGGAAGUCCUAGUGUUUUACAUGGC
rnacentral:rRNA from 1 species